AGCAGCCGCGGUAAUUCCAGCUCCAAUAGCGUAUAUUAAAGUUGUUGCAGUUAAAAAAGCUCGUAGUUGAAUUUCGGGAUUCUACCGUCGGUCGGGCUACCAAGUCUGUACUGGUGUGUAGAAUUCCUACCUUCUGGGGAACCAUCAUGUUAUUAAUUUAGCGUGGUGGGAAACCAGGACCUUUACCUUGAAAAAUUAGAGUGUUCAAAGCAGGCUUAUGUCUGAAUACAUUAGCAUGGAAUAAUAGAAUAGGACGGUGGUCCUGUUUUGUUGGUUUCUGAAUCACCGCAAUGAUUAAUAGGGAUAGUUGGGGGCAUUAGUAUUCAAUUGUCAGAGGUGAAAUUCUUGGAUUUAUUGAAGACUAACUUCUGCGAAAGUAUUUGCCAAGGAUGUUUUCAUUAAUCAAGAACGAAAGUUAGGGGAUCGAAGACGAUCAGAUACCGUCGUAGUCUUAACCAUAAACUAUGCCGACUAGGGAUCGGACGAUAGUUUAAAUUUUAUUGUACUCGUUACGGUCGCC
rnacentral:misc_RNA from 1 species